GCCUGGGUGGCGGAAUAGGCAGACGCAAGGGACUUAAAAUCCCUCGGGGCGCAAGCUCUGUACGAGUUCGAUUCUCGUCCCAGGCA
rnacentral:tRNA from 1 species